UACGUAGGGUGCAAGCGUUGUCCGGAAUUAUUGGGCGUAAAGAGCUCGUAGGCGGUUUGUUGCGUCGGCUGUGAAAUCCCGAGGCUCAACCUCGGGUCUGCAGUCGAUACGAGCAAACUAGAGUGUUGCAGGGGAGACCGGAAUUCCUGGUGUAGCGGUGAAAUGCGCAGAUAUCAGGAGGAACACCGGUGGCGAAGGCGGGUCUCUGGGCAACAACUGACGCUGAGGAGCGAAAGCGUGGGGAGCGAACAGG
rnacentral:rRNA from 1 species